AACGAACGUUAGCGGCGCGCCUAACACAUGCAAGUCGCACGAGAAAGGGCUUCGGCCCCGGUAAAGUGGCGCACGGGUGAGUAACACGUGGGUAACCUGCCCUCGAGCGGGGGAUAACAUUCCGAAAGGAGUGCUAAUACCGCAUAAGACCACAACCUCGAAAGAGGAUGGGGUAAAAGCUGGCCUCUAUACAUAAGCUAGCAUUUGAGGAUGGGCCCGCGGCGCAUCAGGUAGUUGGUGAGGUAACGGCUCACCAAGCCUAAGACGCGUAGCUGGUCUGAGAGGGUGAUCAGCCACACGGGAACGGAGACACGGUCCAGACUCCUACGGGAGGCAGCAGUGGGGGAUCUUGCGCAAUGGGCGAAAGCCUGACGCAGCGACGCCGCGUGAGUGAUGAAGGCCUUCGGGUUGUAAAGCUCUGUGGGGAGAGACGAAUAAGUGCCGCCUAAUACGUUGCAUGAUGACGGUAUCUCCUUAGCAAGCACCGGCUAACUCUGUGCCAGCAGCCGCAGUAAUAC
rnacentral:rRNA from 1 species